GCGGAAAUAGCUCAGUUGGGAGUAUGUUAGAAUGAAGCUCUAAGGGUCUCUGGUUCAAGCCUGGGUUUUGGCA